UGGGUUAAGUCCCGCAACGAGCGCAACCCUUAUCCUUUGUUGCCAGCGGUUCGGCCGGGAACUCAAAGGAGACUGCCAGUGAUAAACUGGAGGAAGGUGGGGAUGACGUCAAGUCAUCAUGGCCCUUACGAGUAGGGCUACACACGUGCUACAAUGGCGUAUACAAAGAGAAGCGACCUCGCGAGAGCAAGCGGACCUCAUAAAGUAUGUCGUAGUCCGGAUUGGAGUCUGCAACUCGACUCCAUGAAGUCGGAAUCGCUAGUAAUCGUAGAUCAGAAUGCUACGGUGAAUACGUUCCCGGGCCUUGUACACACCGCCCGUCACACCAUGGGAGUGGGUUGCAA
rnacentral:rRNA from 1 species